CAAACUUCUCAUUCAUGGAGACGGUGAAGAUGUCCUUCCACAGCCCAACUCUUCCUGACAGCUGAGAGCUCGUCAGAGGAGUCACCCACCUGGUUUAGGAUUUGGAAUCAAGACAAUUUAUGCUGUGACAUGAAUCAAAUCUAAGCAAUGCAGCUGGCUACUCGGCCCUGCAUUCUCACCAACUCAAGAAGAUCUUCCGAGCAAAGACGCAAUGUGCUAAAAGAAAACAAAUCAAAGAACUGAAAUAAAGCAAAACCAAGGU
rnacentral:lncRNA from 1 species